UGGGGAAUAUUGGACAAUGGGCGAAAGCCUGAUCCAGCCAUGCCGCGUGUGUGAAGAAGGUCUUCGGAUUGUAAGCACUUUAAGUUGGGAGGAAGGGCAUUAACCUAAUACGUUAGUGUUUUGACGUUACCGACAGAAUAAGCACCGGCUAACUCUGUGCCAGCAGCCGCGGUAAUACAGAGGGUGCAAGCGUUAAUCUGAAUUACUGGGCGUAAAGCGCGCGUAGGUGGUUUGUUAAGUUGGAUGUGAAAGCCCCGGGCUCAACCUGGGAACUGCAUCCAAAACUGGCAAGCUAGAGUACGGUAGAGGGUGGUGGAAUUUCCUGUGUAGCGGUGAAAUGCGUAGAUAUAGGAAGGAACACCAGUGGCGAAGGCGACCACCUGGACUGAUACUGACACUGAGGUGCGAAAGCGUGGGGAGCAAACA
rnacentral:rRNA from 1 species